rfam:Rubrivivax sp. SCN 71-131 ABS84_C0020, whole genome shotgun sequence.
GGGACCGACUUGGCUUCGACGUGGGUGCGGAGCCGGCGCGGGGCAUGCCGAGCACCAGUACGCUCGUAAAUCCACUGGAAACAAGUAACUGCGAACGACGAACGUUUCGCCCUCGCCGCUUAACACCGGCGAGCCUCGCAACAGCUCUCCGAUGGGCUGGGUCUGAGGUCGCAAGACCAAGGGCUGCGAGGUCAUUCACAUCGGAUCGGCCUGCGCCGCGUCAUUCGGCACGGGCUCAAAUUCAAGUGACUCGGGGAUUGGGUAGCGUGCUGCUGCGCGACUCAGGCCCUCAGACUCAAAUCAGUCAGCUACGCAUGUAGAACCGUCCGGUGAUGGCUUGCGGACGGGGGUUCGAUUCCCCCCGGUUCCACCA